rnacentral:lncRNA from 1 species
CGCUAGCCGUCCAUAUUGACCGCCACACAAAGUCUCUCUUACGUCAUUUUGUUCGUACACUGUCGACGCGUGAUCGAGUGAGCCGAGUCUCGCCUCACUUGCUGGCAGGGGUUAUAUCUUUUGCGCGAAAAUGGUAUUAAUCUUCCUUCGAGCGAAUCUACCGUUGGAUCUCGCAACGGCCACAUCCAAAUCAGCGCUGACGCAUAAGAGAAGACGU